CCGGGGGACGGACUGGGAA
rnacentral:sRNA from 1 species